GUUUACUAAGACACUGUGCUCCGGAAGUCAGGAUGGGACAGGCUGUUACAGAGUAAAUGAAUACAAUGCACUGCAGGCAGAGAAGAGAUUGUGUAAUGUGUGCAAGAGGGGAGAGUCAGGCAGUGAUCCUUGAUGGGUGAAUAAGGGAUGUUCCAGCUACGCCAGUGCUGUGUCCAAGAAUCAAGGCAGAAGAUGAGAAGAGGUCUGAAGAGGGUGGAGCAGAGACAGCUGUGUCAGCAGAGUUCCAGAUUGCAUGGGAAGGACCCACAGGAGGAGGAGAUUUAGGCAGCUGUGGGAAGGCGGGGAUCUUCAGGCUCCACAAUGGCUUCAUAGGAGCAAGACCUACUGAGAAGAGUUGUUGUGCUCAUUAGGCCUGGCUUUCCUGAGCUGACCUGGUUUCUGCUAAUAAAGAGUUAACAUCA